UGUAAAGACAAUUUCAUAAAAAUUACCAUAAAGAGAAUAUUCAACACCCUCUACCUAAGAUGUAACGCUUAAAACCCCAAUAAAACACAACUGAGCAGCAUCAAAGGAUAAAACAGGUUAUAAAUUGGCCAAAGAGGUCUCACCUUGGACACCCCUUCCUGAGAAGCCUACCCAGUGCUGAUGUAUCCAGGGGAGGAAAGAAGAUCGUCAUCUCCUUCAAGGUCAAUGUACUGGAUUUGUUCAAAAGCUGAAUCUGCAAGUUCUACUGGAUCUAUUAAGUGACAA